rnacentral:rRNA from 1 species
GGAGGAAUAUUGGGCAAUGGACGAAAGUCUGACCCAGCAACGCCGCGUGAAGGAUGAAGGCCUUCGGGUCGUAAACUUCUUUUGAGGGAGACGAGAAAGGACGGUAUCCCUCGAAUAAGCCACGGCUAACUACGUGCCAGCAGCCGCGGUAAAACGUAGGUGGCGAGCGUCAUCCGGAUUCAUUGGGCGUAAAGAGCUUGUAGGUGGUGCGAUAAGUUGGACGUGAAAACUCCGGGCUUAACUUGGAGAGGCCGUUCAAUACUGUUGUGCUAGAGGGCGUCAGAGGGAAGUGGAAUUCCUGGUGUAGCAGUGAAAUGCGUAGAUAUCAGGAGGAACAUCCGUGGCGAAGGCGGCUUCCUGGGGCGCACCUGACACUGAGAAGCGAAAGCUAGGGGAGCAAACGGGAUUAGAAACCCCGGUAGUCCUAGCUGUAAACGAUGGAUGCUAGGUGUGAGUGGAUCUAACCCCGCUCGUGCCGAAGCUAACGCGUUAAGCAUCCCGCCUGGGAACUACGAGCGCAAGCUUAAAACUCAAAUGAAUUGACGGGGUCAUAGCUGUUUCCAU